UUCAGCACAUAUUAAAAUAUAUAAGUCCGUUCAAAAAUCUUCUGGUGAUGCAAUGGAUUUGGUUCCCCAUUUGUAUUAUUAUUCUCAUGUUUACCUGUAGAGGGAGCUACUGUACAAGCAAUGCAGGGGGGACGAGGAACCCAAAUCUGCUUCCUCACGGGAGUAACAUCACAGACAUGCGCAAUUGCUCAGUGGCAAUCGAGAAAGCAGAGAGAUAAGACAUAACAGCAAUGGCUGAAGCGGAGAAAGAGGGAGCGCGAAAGAUUAUUGACGCACCAAAGACAUUGAAAGCAGGCAUAUGGAGACAUUUUGGCUUCUAUGAGAAUCAAUGCCAAAUCCUCAGUUUUCCAAGGUCACAGCGUCUGAACAUUCUGGAUUGCUGACUUCUUCUAACAAAACAUCUGUAAGACCUUGAAAAAAGUCUCCUGUGAAGAUUUGCAUGCAAUACGUGAGAAACUCUGUGGUCGUAAAGUGCCGCAUGAGCUGGAUAUGGAUGAACUAAAACAAGGUCCUGUGUUAUGGCUCAGUCACCUUCCCAUCCUCCUCCACCUCCUCACUGACUCUGCUGUGCACACCUGUCACCAAUCUCCACACCUGCCUCCACUUCCCAAUCAACUGCCUGCCACUAUAAGAGACCAGUCUGCACGUCAUUCAAUGCCAGAGCUUCACCUCACCACUUAUGCAAUACAGAGCCAACUCAGCCUUCAAGCACAAUCAAGAAAUCUGCUGAGCCACCAACUUUCCCUUUUUUCCCCUUUGUCUAAUAAACACUAGUGAUGGGACCUCAUGAAGCGUGUCGACACAGUGACACACUGUGUUGACACAGUGUGGCUACUUUGUCAUUGAAUACUGACACCUGCUGGACAUAAAAAAUCCCUACAGGCUGACACUGACACUGACACUGAACAGACCCUACUCACAUGACGUCACAACCACGCCUCCGCGCCAUAUUGUCCGUCUACUCGUCGUGUUGAUGCAUUACCGCUACGUAAAUUCCUCCUAUUAUGGCGCGUUUUUCUGCUCGUUAACAUUAAUAAUCAAAAUGGUGAAGGCGUGUGUGGCGGUUGGUUGCAAUAACAGAGAAGAUAGACGGAGAGACUUGAAGUUCUACCGUAUUCCGAGAGACGCAGAGAGGAGAGUGAGAUGGACUGCUGCAAUUCGAUGAGAAAACUGGGCUCCAAACGAUUACCACGGAUUAUGUAGUAGUCAUUUUAUAUCUGGUAAAAUGCAUUUAAUAUAUAUUUAGAGGGUUUUGGGCUGACAACCACAAUUAAGAUCAUUGCGAGGCUAAUCGCCGACAAAUCAAAUUCAAGAUGCUUAUUUCUUCCACCAUCAUUACAUUUUGAAUAAUAUUUAGCUGGUACCAAGUGAAAGAAGCUGGCCUCGUCUACGGAUCAUCAGUUAAACAGGUGUGUCCAAACCUUUUGCAAAGGGGGCCAGAUUUGGUGUGGUAAAAAUGCGGGGGGCUACCUUGGCUGAUUUACAUAGAACAAUAUAUUUAAACAAAUUUUAGCAAGCCCUUCUGUGUGUCACAUUUGCUUUAUUAUUUUUUUAAAUUCAUAAUUUCAACAGUCUCGUCUUUGUGGCUUUCUCUUUCGACACUCGGACUCUUGCGAAAUACUGCUGCUGUGAAAAAAUAAACUAGCUUCAAGUUGCUAUAAUUUCUCGCUGCGUAUCUUCCCUGUAAUGUCGUACAUGUCAGCGUGUCUUGUUUAGUAAUAUUGCGUCACAUCAAACUCUUUGAAAACAGUGACUGUCUCUUUGCAAAUGAGGCAGACACAGUUGUUGUGUGUUUUAUUGAAGAAAUAGUCCAAUACCCACCUAUCCUUGAAGCGUCGGCCAUCGCAGUCAACUUAAAAAAAAUUUUUUUUUUAUUGUCGCCAUUUUAGUAAUCACACAGGGUAAUGUUGCUUAGAGUGCUGCUCUUAAAGAUUUUCAAACUUUCGUGAGAAUAGGCUGAUUUUGUGUGGACAAGAUAGUUGUAGAUAUCAGGGUAGCAGAUGUCAGGCAGAGAGGGCGAAGACAGCGGGUUGAAAAAUAUCGAUUUAGGCAUCAACUAUGGAUCUGGCGAAUGGAUAGACUGAAGCUUUUCCACAUAACGCCUUUUAUGCAACGCAUCCAAUGAGUUUACAGCGUCUGAAAACACCGGGGCUUCCAUGAAUUGCUCUAUAAACUGAACGACUUAUUGAAACCAUUGAGAAUAGGGCUAAACAGAGACGGGCAAUAUGGCGGCCGGAUACAGCGACACGUCAUUCUGUGACGUUGGUGAGUAGGGUCUAUUGAUGGCAUAGCACGUAAAAUCAAAUCAUUUAUGUCUGUGCAUUCAUAUUGCAUUAUUCAAUAUCUUUAAAUUAUGUGAACAUAUAAUGUGAAAAUGUAAGUAAUAAUGAAUGGGUGAAUGAGGAUGC